rnacentral:tRNA from 1 species
GCCCGAGUGGCGGAACUUGGUAGACGCACGAGACUUAAAAUCUCGAGACCUCCGGGUCGUGCCGGUUCGAUUCCGGCCUCGGGCACCA